GUCCCUGUAGCGCAAUGGAUAGUGCAUUGGACUUCUAAUUCAAAUGUCGUGGGUUAGAAUUCCACCUGGGAAG
rnacentral:tRNA from 1 species